UGGGGCGUAGCCAAGUGGUAAGGCACGGGGUUUUGGUCCCCGGACUCGCAGGUUCGAUCCCUGCCGCCCCAG
rnacentral:tRNA from 1 species